CUUUAAACUGAAGAACUUGAUUGGCUUGUAUACAUUGGUUUCUUUGUCGUAUAGUUCAAUUGCUGUUGCUUGUAAAUGUUUUAUAAACCAGUACUGCGAAGUAGCGAAAUUUCGGGCCGUCUUUCACAACAAAUAACAUCACAAUAACUGCACAUCAUUUUCUCUUUAAUACAGAAUCAUUUUCCCCGUCCAUUGAGUUAUAAUUUCCAAAACGAACCAGUCGCUAUAACGUAAAAUAAGCGGGUAUUUGUGAACAAAAAUGCCGUUUGAUAUAACACGAGGUAACCAGCGCCAUCUUGUCUUCUCCAAACAUUACAGAUUUUCCCGCCAAAACCCGCCUCCAAAGUCCCGUAUGUACCUGACGUCACAAGUGUCAUCGACGGGGGGGGGGGACUACCAUAUUUUGUGGUAAAAAUUUUUUCAAAAAUACGCACUAAAUCCAAUUUUAAUCUCUUUACCUUCGCUACUUUUGCUUUCCACAUGCCAACAAAACUAGCUUCUUAGCACAUACAUAGCAUACGCUUUAUAAAAUACUUAAAAAAAUGGACCUAAACAAUAUUGGAGCGACAACAAUUUUGGAAAGUUUCUCCGGAAAUUUUUCUCACUUGAUGAAAAAACUUUUUCAUCUUUUUUUUUUCUUUUCUUUUUUUCACAUUAUUGUACGUUGGAACAGCACUAUAGUAUCAAUAGUAUCAAUAUAUAUAUAGCCUUAGUCUUAGAAUGUUAUAUAUUUUAUGGCAAUAUUUUAUAAAAAUUUCAUCGGCAAGUUGCUGAAUAUUUCAAAAGUAUCAACAAUUAACAAUGUUUCCAAGACCUUUCUGAAAAUCGGAAGCAAGUCAUUAAAAUGAUAUAAUUAUAUGUUCUAUUUCAUUUCAAAAAGCAAACAAAUGUUCCUCUUUUGUUACGAUAGCACUACCCUGGAUUCCAAAGCCUUUGACAGUAAAUAAUGAAUUGAAACAUUGCGAAAGCUCUGGUUCAACAG